UACGGAGGUGGCAGGCGUUACUCGGAUUGAUUGGGUGUAAAGGGCGUGUAGGUGGCAAGCUAAGUCGAAUGUGAAAUCCCUUGGCUCAACCAAGGAACUGCAUUCGAAACUGAUUUGCUUGAGCGACGGAGAGGAAAGCGGAAUUCCCGGUGUAACAGUGAAAUGUGUAGAUAUCGGGAGGAACACCAGUGGCGAAGGCGGCUUUCUGGCUGUCCGCUGACACUGAAACGCGAGAGCUAGGGGAG
rnacentral:rRNA from 1 species